rnacentral:rRNA from 1 species
GAUGAACGCUGGCGGCGUGCCUAAUACAUGCAAGUCGAGCGAACAGACGAGGAGCUUGCUCCUCUGACGUUAGCGGCGGACGGGUGAGUAACACGUGGAUAACCUACCUAUAAGACUGGGAUAACUUCGGGAAGCCGGAGCUAAUACCGGAUAAUAUAUUGAACCGCAUGGUUCAAUAGUGAAAGACGGUUUUGCUGUCACUUAUAGAUGGAUCCGCGCCGCAUUAGCUAGUUGGUAAGGUAACAGCUUACCAAGGCAACGAUGCGUAGCCGACCUGAGAGGGUGAUCGGCCACACUGGAACUGAGACACGGUCCAGACUCCUACGGGAGGCAGCAGUAGGGAAUCUUCCGCAAUGGGCGAAAGCCUGACGGAGCAACGCCGCGUGAGUGAUGAAGGUCUUCGGAUCGUAAAACUCUGUUAUUAGGGAAGAACAAAUGUGUAAGUAACUAUGCACGUCUUGACGGUACCUAAUCAGAAAGCCACGGCUAACUACGUG